AGGUAAUGCCUACUAUACCUCUAUCAAUGUAGGUACUCGGUCAUACUGUGGGUCCCCGGACCUUAGAUGUGAAUCAUCAAGGGUGUGGAGUGAGGAUGGGUUGAAUGCCCA
rfam:Paenibacillus antarcticus strain CECT 5836 PBAT01, whole genome shotgun sequence.